rnacentral:snRNA from 1 species
GCUCCAUCUGGAGAUCGGUAAC